CCUACGGGUGGCAGCAGUGGGGCAUAUUGCACAAUGGGGGAAACCCUGAUGCAGCGACGCCGCGUGAGUGAGGAAGUAUUUCGGUAUGUACAGCUCUAUCAGCAGGGAAGAAAAUGACGGUACCUAACUAAGAAGCACCGGCUAACUACGUGCCAGCAGCCGCGGUAAUACGUAGGGUGCAAGCGUUAUCCGGAUUUACUGGGUGUAAAGGGAGCGUAGACGGCUAAGCAAGUCAGAAGUGAAAACCCAGGGCUCAACCUUUGGACUGCUUUUGAAACUGAGUAGCUAGAGUGCAGGAGAGGUAAGCGGAAUUCCUAGUGUAGCGGUGAAAUCCGUAGAUAUUAGGAGGAACACGAGUGGCGAAGGCGACCUACUGGACUGUAACUGACGUUGAGGCUCGAAAGCGUGGGGAGCAAACAGGAUUAGAUACCCCUGUAGUC
rnacentral:rRNA from 1 species